rnacentral:piRNA from 1 species
UAUGAAGAAUCCAGCCUUUGGAGCCAGGCA